GAUGAAGAACGCAGCGAAAUGCGAUAAGUAAUGUGAAUUGCAGAAUUCAGUGAAUCAUCGAAUCUUUGAACGCACAUUGCGCCCGCCAGUAUACUGGCGGGCAUGCCUGUCUGAGCGUCAUUUCAACCCUCAUGCCCCUAGGGCGUGGUGUUGGGGAUCGGCCAAAGCCCGCGAGGGACGGCCGGCCCCUAAAUCUAGUGGCGGACCCGUCGUGGCCUCCUCUGCGAAGUAGUGAUAUUCCGCAUCGGAGAGCGACGAGCCCCUGCCGUUAAACCCCCAACUUUCCAAGGUUGACCUCAGAUCAGGUAGGAAUACCCGCUGAACUUAAGCAUAUCAAUAAGCGGAGGA
rnacentral:misc_RNA from 1 species